UGAGCGACCUUGCCUCGUGGUGGGGGAUAGCCGGCCCAACGGCCGGGUAAUACCGCAUAGGGUGGUUUUCUCGCAUGGGAGAACCAGCAAAGCUGCGUAGCAAUACGUGGCGCCACAGGGGGGGCUCGCGGCCUAUCAGCUAGUUGGGGGGGUAAUUGCCCACCAAGGCGACGACGGGUAGCUGGUCUGAGAGGAUGGCCAACCACAUUGGGACUGAGAGACGGCCCAG
rnacentral:rRNA from 1 species